rnacentral:rRNA from 1 species
GACGAACGCUGGCGGCGUGCUUAACACAUGCAAGUCGAACGGAAAGGCCCUGCUUUUGUGGGGUGCUCGAGUGGCGAACGGGUGAGUAACACGUGAGUAACCUGCCCUUGACUUUGGGAUAACUUCAGGAAACUGGGGCUAAUACCGGAUAGGAGCUCCUGCUGCAUGGUGGGGGUUGGAAAGUUUCGGCGGUUGGGGAUGGGCUCGCGGCUUAUCAGCCUGUUGGUGGGGUAGUGGCUUACCAAGGCUUUGACGGGUAGCCGGCCUGAGAGGGUGACCGGCCACAUUGGGACUGAGAUACGGCCCAGACUCCUACGGGAGGCAGCAGUGGGGAAUAUUGCACAAUGGGCGGAAGCCUGAUGCAGCAACGCCGCGUGCGGGAUGACGGCCUUCGGGUUGUAAACCGCUUUCGCCUGUGACGAAGCGUGAGUGACGGUAAUGGGUAAAGAAGCACCGGCUAACUACGUG